CCCUCGCGGGGGGGGACACACUGACCCCAAUGUAUGUAGCUAUUUCACCAGCUCGCGUAGGAAUCGCAGCCCUCAGCGUGUCCCGCGUGAAGACCUGUGCUACGGUCCCGCCCCAGGACCCUAUACUCUGUUUCUACCUGUAACUUCUGAGUAAAACCGUGCCUGCGUCAAAACUUUCUCAAUGGAUAUCUUGGUGCGGACUGCGAUGAAAAACGCAUCAAAAUGCCUUUAGUAAUGUGAAUUGCAGAAUUCCGUGACUCAUCGAAACUUUGAACGCAGAUUGCGCCCGCCUGUAUUCUGGAGGGCAUGCCAGUUCGAGCGUCAUUUCACCCUCUGCCACCGUUGGUAGUUGGGACUCGCGUUAAGUCGCGUUCCUCAGAUUGAUUGACGGUCACGUCGAGCUUCCUUAGCGGAGUAGUAAAACCCUCGUUACUGGUCGUCGUCGCGGCCACCCCCUUAAACCCCAACUUCUGAAUGCUGACCUCGCAUCACGGAGGAAUACCCAGCUGAACUUAGCCACAUCAAUAACGCGGUAGGAGACGCUUCUAUACCGGCUUCGGAUGGGAGCACAACUCUUAUGACAUCCUGACCUCCUCAAUAAGGAUCAUG
rnacentral:rRNA from 1 species